GACGAACGCUGGCGGCGUGCUUAACACAUGCAAGUCGAACGGAAAGGCCCUGCUUUUGUGGGUUGCUCGAGUGGCGAACGGGUGAGUAAAACGUGAGUAACCUGCCCUUGACUUUGGGAUAACUUCAGGAAACUGGGGCUAAUACCGGAUAGGAGCUCCUGCUGCAUGGUGGGGGUUGGAAAGUUUCGGCGGUUGGGGAUGGACUCGCGGCUUAUCAGCUUGUUGGUGGGGUAGUGGCUUACCAAGCCUUUGACGGGUAGCCGGCCUGAGAGGGUGACCGGCCACAUUGGGACUGAGAUACGGCCCAGACUCCUACGGGAGGCAGCAGUGGGGAAUAUUGCACAAUGGGCGGAAGCCUGAUGCAGCAACGCCGCGUGCGGGAUGACGGCCUUCGGGUUGUAAACCGCUUUCGCCUGUGACGAAGCGUGAGUGACGGUAAUGGGUAAAGAAGCACCGGCUAACUACGUG
rnacentral:rRNA from 1 species